GGCCGACUAGCUCAGUUGGUUAGAGCGUGGUGCUAAUACUGGAGUUGUGUGAGCAGCUCAAGCAACGCCAAGGUCGUCGGUUCGACCCCGGCGUUGGCCA